rnacentral:rRNA from 1 species
UACGUAGGUGGCAAGCGUUAUCCGGAUUUACUGGGUGUAAAGGGCGUGUAGGCGGCGUGUCAAGUCAGCGGUAAAAUGUCGGGGCUCAACCCCGGCCGGCCGUUGAAACUGGCGUGCUCGAGUUGGAGAGAAGUAUGCGGAAUUCGUGGUGUAGCGGUGAAAUGCAUAGAUAUCACGAAGAACCCCGAUUGCGAAGGCAGCAUACCGGCUCCACACUGACGCUGAGGCACGAAAGCGUGGGUAUCGAACAGG